CCCGCUGAACUUAAGCAUAUCAGUAAGCGGAGGAAAAGAAACUAACAAGGAUUCCCUCAGUAGCGGCGAGUGAACAGGGAACAGCUCAAAAUGUAAAUCUGUAGCACAGAGUUACAGAAUUGUAAUCUAGAGGCCUUUUAGGGAAGUCAUGGUAUCUCGCAUAAGUUCUUUGAAAAAGGAUGUCAUAGAGGGUAAAAACCCCGUGUUUGGCGAGAACUAGAUGUACCGAAGGGUUCAAAGAGUCGGGUUGUUUGGGACUGCAGCCCUAAAUGGGAGAUAAACUUCUUCUAAAGCUAAAUAUUUAUGGGAAACCGAUAGCAAACAAGUACUACGAAGGAAAGAUGAAAAGAACUUUGAAAAGAGGGUUAAAAGACUUGAAAUCGUUGAUAAGAAAAGCGGUAGAAGAGAAAUGAUUCCGUUUAAUAAUAUGUGGUGUAAGUAUGGUCUUUCAGGUGUUAGGUACUUCAUAGGGCCGACAUUUGGACUGGUCAUGUGCUUUACUACUUUUUUUAAAUGGAGUGCAAAAUGAGGUCAGAACUCUAGGAAAUAUCUGGAAUUAGACCCGGGUCUCGAUGCCUGGUUAUUCUUAGACGCACUAGAGACUGCCCUGAGGGCUCCUAUUGGAGAUUUUGCAAAAAAGGCUUUUACUGACCCGUCUUGAAACACGG
rnacentral:rRNA from 1 species